rnacentral:rRNA from 1 species
GGGGAAUAUUGCACAAUGGGCGCAAGCCUGAUGCAGCCAUGCCGCGUGUAUGAAGAAGGCCUUCGGGUUGUAAAGUACUUUCAGCGGGGAGGAAGGGAGUAAAGUUAAUACCUUUGCUCAUUGACGUUACCCGCAGAAGAAGCACCGGCUAACUCCGUGCCAGCAGCCGCGGUAAUACGGAGGGUGCAAGCGUUAAUCGGAAUUACUGGGCGUAAAGCGCACGCAGGCGGUUUGUUAAGUCAGAUGUGAAAUCCCCGGGCUCAACCUGGGAACUGCAUCUGAUACUGGCAAGCUUGAGUCUCGUAGAGGGGGGUAGAAUUCCAGGUGUAGCGGUGAAAUGCGUAGAGAUCUGGAGGAAUACCGGUGGCGAAGGCGGCCCCCUGGACGAAGACUGACGCUCAGGUGCGAAAGCGUGG